rnacentral:rRNA from 1 species
AGAAUCAACGCUGGCGGCGUGCCUAACACAUGCAAGUCGAACGAGAAAGUGGAGCAAUCCAUGAGUAAAGUGGCGACCGGGUGAGUAACACGUGACUAACCUACCCUGAAGUGGGGAAUAACUCCGGGAAACCGGGGCUAAUACCGCAUAACAUCGUCGUUUCUAAAGAAGUGACGAUCAAAGCAGCAAUGCGCUAUGGGAGGGGGUCGCGGCUGAUUAGCUAGUUGGCGGGGUAAUGGCCCACCAAGGCGAAGAUCGGUAUCCGGCCUGAGAGGGCGCACGGACACACUGGAACUGAAACACGGUCCAGACUCCUACGGGAGGCAGCAGUGGGGAAUUUUGCGCAAUGGGGGAAACCCUGACGCAGCAACGCCGCGUGGAGGAUGAAGCCCCUUGGGGCGUAAACUCCUUUCGACCAAGACGAUAAUGACGGUACUGGUGGAAGAAGCACCGGCUAACUCUGCGCCAGCAGCCGC